rnacentral:rRNA from 1 species
GAUGAACGCUGGCGGCGUGCCUAAUACAUGCAAGUCGAGCGAACAGACGAGGAGCUUGCUCCUCUGACGCUAGCGGCGGACGGGUGAGUAACACGUGGAUAACCUACCUAUAAGACUGGGAUAACUUCGGGAAACCGGAGCUAAUACCGGAUAAUAUAUUGAACCGCAUGGUUCAAUAGUGAAAGACGGUUUUGCUGUCACUUAUAGAUGGAUCCGCGCCGCAUUAGCUAGUUGGUAAGGUAACGGCUUACCAAGGCAACGAUGCGUAGCCGACCUGAGAAGGUGAUCGGCCACACUGGAACUGAGACACGGUCCAGACUCCUACGGGAGGCAGCAGUAGGGAAUCUUCCGCAAUGGGCGAAAGCCUGACGGAGCAACGCCGCGUGAGUGAUGAAGGUCUUCGGAUCGUAAAACUCUGUUAUUAGGGAAGAACAAAUGUGUAAGUAACUAUGCACGUCUUGACGGUACCUAAUCAGAAAGCCACGGCUAACUACGUG